CACGUAGGGCGCAAGCGUUGUCCGGAAUUAUUGGGCGUAAAGAGCUCGUAGGCGGUCUGUCGCGUCGGCUGUGAAAACCCGGGGCUCAACCCCGGGCCUGCAGUCGAUACGGGCAGACUAGAGUGCGGUAGGGGAGACUGGAAUUCCUGGUGUAGCGGUGGAAUGCGCAGAUAUCAGGAGGAACACCGAUGGCGAAGGCAGGUCUCUGGGCCGCAACUGACGCUGAGGAGCGAAAGCAUGGGGAGCGAACAGG
rnacentral:rRNA from 1 species